rnacentral:lncRNA from 1 species
UCAUCAUCCUCAUGCUUAUAUUGUGAUGAAAGUCAUCUUUGGCUUACGUGCAUAGAUGAACUGUUGAUUGGUAUGAUUAUGACCAGGGAUCAUUCGGUAUAAUCAUGACCAGUAAUGUUACAAAUGACGUGGUAAAAGUCCUCAUUGGCCUGUAGUUCAUUGAUGGACAGUUGUUGGUAUGAUUAUGACCAUGGAUUAUUCGGUAUAAUUAUGACAAUUGAUGAUUACAUGAAUAUCCUUGGCUGUGGUGCAGGGAUGAUUCGAUGAUGUGGUUUAUUUAUUAAGCUGAGUCUCAACGAUAAAGUUGAUGAAAAAAACUUUUUAAAUCAUAGAAGAUAAUAGAUAUCAUGCUCUACUUGAGUCUUUUAAUGGAUUGCUUGUUCCGCUGCAGUUAAACUUGUUGUUUAUUAUAUUCUAUCAGUUUAACAUUGUUGAAGGCUAACGAUAACUUAUUCUGCAUUAUCUUAGUCAUAAUAUUUCUUACUGGGCUAGUUGAGCUCACCCUUUUGCUUUUAUUGUUCUAUUCAGAAAAUGAGAACGUAGCCGGGACUAGUCGGGAAACGGAGUGAUGGUCCAGAUAUUUGCAUUAGUAGUCCUCACUAUCCUGUGAAAUAGUGUGAUAAUAAAUGAGGACUUAUUUUGAGUUUGAAUACUGUCUAGAAGACAAUAUUUGUAUUAAAACUCAUAAUUCAUGUUGUAUAAUUAUGUUUAUAAUUGUAUUCAGUACCAUGUAUUUAGCGAUCCAAGAUGGGUGAUGUAUACCUAUUUUAAGGGCGUCACAAUAUGUGUUGGCCAUGUAAGUUGUUUAGGGUUGUAGUGUGAAAUGGAUACUACAACAUUAAUGGAUAAUCGAGUCCACAAACAGACUUUGAGGGCUCAAGAACACCUAUAUCGACGGUUUUGUCACCUAAAGCCACCUUUAGCGACAGUUUAAUUAUAAAAUAAAUUAUUUUAUUUAAUAAUUAGGUAAAAUUAUUUUUAAUUAUUAAAAAU